UUAAAGUUUGAUUCUUGCUUUGAGUUUAAUAUUACCAUUAUUUUACAUGUAAGUUUUUUCUUGAUUAAUAUUAUUUAUUUCUAAAUGAUUAAUUAUAUAUUCGCAGUGAAAAGUUCUAUAUAUUUACUUUGGUUUGAUUUUGUUAUUUGGUAAAUUUUUCAUGAUUAAUAUUGUGCCAGCAUUCGCGGUUAUACAGUAAUGAAUUAUUAAUUUUUUUAUCUUUUAGUUAUUGUAUUAUAGAGAUUUUAUUAUUUAUUUAAUUGGGUGAAAUUUUUAUAUUUUUUAUUUUUCUUUUUUUAUAUAUAUAUAUUUUAAGAAAUUCUUAAUUUUAAACUAGGAUUAGAUACCCUAUUAUUUUUGAAUGUUAAUCUUUAGAUUGAUUAUUAUUAGUUAUGAUCUUUAAAUUCAAAGAAUUUGGCGGUAAUUAAGUCUUUUUAGAGGAACCUGUUUUUUAAUUGAUAAUCCACGAUUGAUUUUACUUUAAUUUUUAUUUGUAUAUCUCUGUCAUUGAAUGUAUUAUUAGAUUUAAUUUUCGUUUAUUCUGACUAUUGAAUUAAUGUUAGGUCAAGGUGCAGUUUAUAUUAAAGUAAUAAUGGGUUACAAUGAUUAUUCUUUUUUGUUUAUAUUUUGGAAUAUGUAUAUUAAAUUGGAUUUAAUAGUAAUUUUAAUUAGUAAAAUUAUUUUGAUUAUGGCUCUUAAUUAUGUACAUAUCGCCCGUCACUCUCAUUAAUUUGAGAUAAGUCGUAACAAAGUAAUCUUACUGGAAGGUGAGGUUAGAAAGUU
rnacentral:ncRNA from 1 species